rnacentral:rRNA from 1 species
CACCGCGGUUAUACGAGAGGCCCAAGUUGACUAAUACGGCGUAAAGAGUGGUUAUGGAGUCCUUACACUAAAGCCGAAAGCCCCUUAAACUGUCAUACGCACCCAGGGGCCAGAAUCCCACCGCACGAAAGUAGCUUUAUUAACGCCCACCAGAACCCACGACAGCUAGGGCA